GGAUGCAAUCGUCUUAUUAUUAACUCGGACAAUCUGAACAUGAUUGAUACCAUGAAGGAUGGAGGAUGGUGGGCGGGUGCAGCGGCGGCUAUUUUUGAUGAUUGUUUUCAUUAUGCUUGUGAUUUUAUUAUUACUGGGUUCCAACACUAUAACAGAGAAGCAAAUAAACUUGCUCAUGAGCUCGCUAGAUUAGUUAGAUUUUCUUUGACUUCUGAUUUGUUUGAGGAGUCCUUAAAUGAAAUUGUAACAACCCUCAUAAGUGAUGUAUUGGUUAUUUAUAAAUUUCGUGUUUAUAUUUAA
rnacentral:rRNA from 1 species